AGAGUUUGAUCCUGGCUCAGGAUGAACGCUAGCGACAGGCUUAACACAUGCAAGUCGAGGGGCAGCACAGGUAGCAAUACCGGGUGGCGACCGGCGCACGGGUGAGUAACGCGUAUGCAACUUGCCUAUCAGAGGGGGAUAACCCGGCGAAAGUCGGACUAAUACCGCAUGAAGCAGGGGCCCCGCAUGGGGAUAUUUGCUAAAGAUUCAUCGCUGAUAGAUAGGCAUGCGUUCCAUUAGGCAGUUGGCGGGGUAACGGCCCACCAAACCGACGAUGGAUAGGGGUUCUGAGAGGAAGGUCCCCCACAUUGGUACUGAGACACGGACCAAACUCCUACGGGAGGCAGCAGUGAGGAAUAUUGGUCAAUGGCCGAGAGGCUGAACCAGCCAAGUCGCGUGAAGGAAGAAGGAUCUAUGGUUUGUAAACUUCUUUUAUAGGGGAAUAAAGUGGAGGACGUGUCCUUUUUUGUAUGUACCCUAUGAAUAAGCAUCGGCUAACUCCGUGCCAGCAGCCGCGGUAAUACGGAGGAUGCGAGCGUUAUCCGGAUUUAUUGGGUUUAAAGGGUGCGUAGGUGGUGAUUUAAGUCAGCGGUGAAAGUUUGUGGCUCAACCAUAAAAUUGCCGUUGAAACUGGGUUACUUGAGUGUGUUUGAGGUAGGCGGAAUGCGUGGUGUAGCGGUGAAAUGCAUAGAUAUCACGCAGAACUCCGAUUGCGAAGGCAGCUUACUAAACCAUAACUGACACUGAAGCACGAAAGCGUGGGGAUCAAACAGGAUUAGAUACCCUGGUAGUCCACGCAGUAAACGAUGAAUACUAACUGUUCGGGGGGCGACCUCUGAGUGGUAAAGCGAAAGCGUUAAGUAUUCCACCUGGGGAGUACGCCGGCAACGGUGAAACUCAAAGGAAUUGACGGGGGCCCG
rnacentral:rRNA from 1 species